GAUGAACGCUGGCGGCGUGCUUAACACAUGCAAGUCGAACGGAAAGGCCCAAGCUUGCUUGGGUACUCGAGUGGCGAACGGGUGAGUAACACGUGGGUGAUCUGCCCUGCACUUCGGGAUAAGCCUGGGAAACUGGGUCUAAUACCGGAUAGGACGAUGGUUUGGAUGCCAUUGUGGAAAGUUUUUUCGGUGUGGGAUGAGCUCGCGGCCUAUCAGCUUGUUGGUGGGGUAAUGGCCUACCAAGGCGUCGACGGGUAGCCGGCCUGAGAGGGUGUACGGCCACAUUGGGACUGAGCUACGGGCCAGACUCCUACGGGAGGCAGCAAGGGGGAAUAUUGCACAAUGGGCGCAAGCCUGAUGCAGGGACGCCGCGUGGGGGAUGACGGCCUUCGGGUUGUAAACUCCGUUCGCUAGGGACGAAGCGUUUUUGUGACGGUACCUGGAGAAGAAGCACCGGCUAACUACGUG
rnacentral:rRNA from 1 species